rnacentral:lncRNA from 1 species
GUGAGAAGAAGAGGCGGGCUGCCACUAAUCCCAACAGAAAAACACUCCGAUUAGACUUAUCCUCUCCUCUGAGGAUUAGAGCUUUGAUAAAACCUUCAACCUAAACCCAAAUCAAUUUAGUCAGGGUGUAACAUUCACAAGCAGUAUCUUCCUCUUUUUUCCCCAUGGAGAGAAGCUCUGUGAAAUGAGCAGACUGUUUAUUUUGUCUUAUUUCAUCCCGUCGUUUAGAGUCUCUGCUCUCAGAAGCUUCUCAAAUAGAACCUGAUGUCCAAACAGAAGCAAUAUUUCUGCAUCAUGCAUCUCUCAAACAUGAAAUAUGAAAAAUCUAUCAUGUAGACUACAUUAAACAAGGGCGCUGACGCAUCCUCAACGGUAUUAGGCCUCUGUUGCUCUGUUGUGACAUGUAGCAAAACCCUGGUUGCAAAAGGAGGCUCUUAAAUAGCUGGAGGGCCCUCGAGUGUGGUGAAACACAGAAGACUGUGAUCAAAACAAGCGAGAGGACCUGCAGUGACCUCUCCAUAAAUGAUUCAUACAAGGACCGAGUGUUUGUCAGGCCCUUAAUCACAGGAAAAAAAGGUCAAGAUUUACAGAGUUUGGACAAAGUUUGUGGUUACUACUGGUCUCCUCUAGCCCUGAAGACAUUGAAAGUUUGGCUGUACAGUUUAUCACUUGAGUUUUAAUAGUUUUAUCAGGGUCUGUAGGGGUCUUGAUUUAAUGCAGACUGCUCAGGUUUAAUGCAUAAGCCAUGUCACAACCACUUCAAACUGCAGUACUUACAUAUUCAUACACAAUUGUUGGCUUUUUGACUUUUGGUGACGUCCUUUAAGAUUUCUUACUGAACGUUGAUUCCUUUUGUUGUUUGAUUUUUGAGCUUUCUAAAGAAUGAAAACUGGAUGAUUGAUUAAAAGAACAAAUGUCUUCUUCAUGUGAGGUUCACUUACAAGCUGAUGCUGUAAUUUGUAGUACAAAGGAAUCUUCAAAUCGAUAUUGGAAAUUGCAAGAAACUACUGAUAAGACUUGAAACCAGGCAUAGUGUGUGAUGACAAUUUGUGUUUUAUUUAGGUUGAAGUCAGCACCCAUCUGGCAGUUUUGAAUGAAUUAUGGCCGAUUAAUUCUGUAGCAAAACUGACCUCUAUCAAUAAUUUGGUCUGAAAGCCACACAAGCAGCAGUCAAUCACACAGUGCCGUACAUCAGAGCUUAUUUUGCAUUAUCUCUCUGUCAAUGAAUCCUCAAAGUUUCUGUCAGUUUAUUUAUUUUUUUUAACUUUUGUACAAAUAAAAAGAAGGUUUAAAUGCUACAACAGUUAAAAGACAGCAGUUGUAGUCAUCUAUCCAAAGCAAAGUCCAGUUGACCUUGAAGGUAAACAGGGGUGUCUGUUGAUGUCCAUUAGACCAGUGGUUCUCAAGUCCAGUCCUCUAGGCCCACUGUCCUGCAUGUUUUGGAUGUUUCCCUGCUCCAACACACCUGAUUCAAAUGAUCAGCUCGUUAUUAAGCCGUUACAGAGCUUGAUAACGAGCUGAUGAUUUGAAUCAGGUGUGUCUGGACUUGAGAACCACUGCAUUAGACAAACAUACACAUUAGCAGUCAGGCACACUAGACCGACACAGACCCUUUUAAUGAAAACAGAAUAGCAUGGAUAAGUCUACCGAAUAAUGUUGUGUUGCAUUUAUUUGCUAAUACUGGGCUGUUUUUACAAAGUAUGAUAGAGGAAACAAACAAAAAUAAAAAAAACACCUCUUGCCUUCUCAACAAUUAUGAUGUAAUUGCUCUAACACAAUUCACACUAGAAGUCCGUCAGUGAUCACUGAUAACAUCAAUAUCUGUAAUGAUAAUGUAUUACAGAAAAUGGAGUUGUAUACAGGCUAUGCCAGGCUAAUCUAGCAUGCAACCACUGGACUGUAGUAACCAGCACAGGCUUGUCGCCCCUAACCCAGCAGGGACUGACGGCUCAGAGUGAUAGCUCUGCCAGAGUCAGCCACACUUAUCUUUUUAGUACAGCGAGUGCCUAAAAAAAGUCUUCCUUUAUUUUAUAUAUUUAUUGUUUUUUCUCAGAGGGAUUUAUAUUUCAUUUGCAAUUCAUAGUAGCCUGAACGCAAGUCAAAAGAGUUGGCACACAUUAUGUAAAGUUCCUCAGCAUCGGACCUCUUGUGAGUUGAAAAUUAGUUUUUUUUUUUUUUUUCAUAUUUGAUCCUAUCAACUUUCUUUAAGUCAUUCCGAGCUGACCCACAGUAAAACUUUGUUUAUACCCUGCAGUGAGAUACACCCUAAAGCAAUCCACCUUGACCGGUGCUGUACAGCCGCAUCAAUGUGUGAAUAAGUAUGUGUGUGUGUGCCCCUUUCACAAGAAAUCAGCCGAGAAAAACUCAUUUCUCCUGCUGUGGCACAGUACUGGGAGUUUGAGCGUAGACUUAACUGUGCUUGGCAAGCAGAACACACAGUGAAGCGCAAGUCCUGAGAGACCCGGCAGCUAAAGCUAAUCACUGCAAAGACAUGACACACAUCUGCCUGCGCCCACACAAAUUUGCACAUGCAAAUGCAGUCCGGCACGUACAUUCUGGCAUACACAGGCUUUAGUACACACUAUUAACAGAAAGAGAUGCAGGAGAACGAAGGAAUGUACUUCUGACCAAAUUGGAUUAAGAGUGUCAUCUAAUAUGGAACAAGCGUGAGAGGGUUCCCUUGAAACUUGCAGUAAGAGGGAUAGCGGCAUUGAAAAAUGAGCAGCAUGCUUUUUGGUUAGGAGACAAUCAGAUUCAUCACGGUUGGGAGGACAAGAGGGAGACAGGGGAGGAGAGUGGAGAGAGGUCUCUACAUCCAGGGAGAUGAUCCCCCUUAUGAGCGCCCAUCCGAUUACAAUCAGAGCCCAUGCCUCGGUACAUGCAGACAGCCUAAAAAUAUACGUACUGAAGAUACAUUGAACCACUUUGUCUCUAUUCUUCUCACUCCUGCUGGCUUCGUGAUAUUCUUUUUGCUUCCCUUCUCUCCUUUCCCCUCUUUUAUUUUUAACAAUUUCCUCCCUCAGCUCUGAUUAUACUUUUGUGAAUCUGCUGGGCAAGCGUUCUCUGCUGGCCCAUUCCUGUCUAAUAUAUUCCCCAUCUGUUCAUGCAGGUCCAUUUGAUACCGUCUGUCCCUGGGGUGGGCAGAACCUCAGGGGCAGCUGGGGGGCUGCAACGCCCAUUGGCAUAUCCAUUAUACUGCCCAAGGCAUGCCCAUGGUAGGGAAAAGCCAAGCGUCCUUCACCAUCCUUCAUCUGGUGCGGUGCAUUAACACCAACAAUAGCAAUGAGCACCAACUAUGACAGGCUUAAGAUCUAACCAAAAUACACAUCAGCCUGUGUCACGCACAAGAGGAAAACGUUUAUCUCUUGUGUUGAAAUAUGGUGUCAGAACCCAUCAGCUGUUGUCUGAUAUGAUGUGGCCUCUGGCCAAUGUUUGGGAGCUCUCAAUUCUGCAAUAGAUGAGUCCAUGGAAACCGUAUUCUUACCAGCUAAACUGCGAAAACAGACUAACACGGUGCUUUUGCCAGAAGUAUUAUCACUAGAUGCAGAAAAUAACUGUAGGACAUGUGUAUCCCUCUCUGUAACUUCCAUGUUAGCUUUUUAUAUUUUACCCAACCAGUCCUGGAAGACUGUGAAAGCUCAUUCUUUGUUGUGUCUUGUGGUUUUUUUGAGUCUGUUUUCUUCAAUUUUCUGAGAUGUCCCUUUCACUGGUUUCAUGAUCUUUACUCUGCUGGUGACCAAACAGCUAUUAGCUACUAUUCUUACCUUAACGACUGUCCAAAACCAAUAUGUUACAUUGCUAACAGAAUAAGGCAAAGUCAUAUAUGUGCAGUUCUCCUUCUUGCUAAUUCAUCUUAUGUGACCUGCGAUUUGGUUGUCCUUAGCAUCACUUUUGCUAAUUAAAGUUAAUGACCUUAAAACUAUGUUUUUGACCAAUCAGAAUCAAGUAUUCACCACAAGCCAGAUACCAGCAAGAAAACCGUGUAAGAAUGGGCAAUGAUACAAGCUAGCCCGCUGAAGAUGAAAGUAUGAGAAUCAGCUCACCUUGCUUUAAAUUGCAGUUUAAUGAAAUACAAAAAAUUAAAAAAUUCAAGAUGAAGAGAGACUUGUUUCCAGGGCUGGAAAGAAGAAUCUGGGUUAGCUCACCUGCAUGCCGAACUGUCAAGUCUGCCAGCCAUGUUUACUCCGAAGAGGCGUUGCAGUGAACGGUUUUAACUAUUCAUUUUAACUAACGUCAGCCUCAGGGCGGGUCUUGAAUAUGUAGAACUGGCUCCUUCUUGGAACCUGGUCCUGCAUGUUUUUAUUAAAAUAAGCUCCACUUGCAAUGAUAUGAAACUGUGCCCACUCUAAAUCAGUAAUACAAGUGGCAAACCUGUUGGCAGCGUUUACUAUGUCACAAUACGGUUCAAAUAGUGCAAGGUUAACUGUGUUACACGGGAUGGGACCUGUGGGGUCACCGGUAAUGUGGGUGAUUGAGUAUAUAGAUUCAAGGACCAGAAGUGUGUUGGCACAAUACUGUCAACCUGUUAAAAGGUAGUUGUGUGUGUGUGUGUGUGUGUGUGUGUGUGUGUGUGUGUGAUAGAGAGUGUGCGUGGGGGGGUACAGACAUGCUGUAAAGAGAUGUUGAGGAGCUUGUUCCAUCAUGCUGAUGAGCUCAGUAAUGCAAUGUAGUUGCGAUUCCCAGACAGAAGUGAGGACGCUUUACACAGCAUCAUCUCCAUUAUCGGUGUAUACAUUAACCUUGAGUGCAGUUGCAGACAGGAGAAAUGUUCCAAACACACGCACACGCACACACACACACACACACACAUACACACACACACACACACACACACUGAAAUACAUCAGCAAAAAUCUAUGCAUGCAUUCAUAUGGAGUUUUUGCAUUAUGUAAAUUGCACAAAGUCCUCUUCACUGUGGCAGCACAGUUAUAUACAGCUUUGUAUUUUACAGCCAAGUGCACUGUGCUAUAUGAACCUGCAGGAUGAAGUGUGCAAGUGCACCCUUAAAGACACGCAAGGCCAUAGUUCAGUUCACUCAGACUGAAUUAAUUGGAUUCUUGUCUGAAGUCCUUGGUUUUGUAACACAAGCAAAAUACAUAAUAGAAACCCCGCUCUUGUCGGACUCAUGCUAACCUUUUUCUUGUUAUGAUAACACACAACUGGAGUGCAUACACACUAGGCCUGCACAAUAUAUCGUUUGAGCAUCGUCAUCGCGAUGUACGUGUGUGCAAUGGCCACAUUGCAGAGCCUGCGAUGUCGGAGGUAAAUGAACUCAGUUAAUUUCAAGGGUAACUGACUGAGAGACACUGCAUGUGACUCUGCAUGUGCUGUGCAGCGAUCCACCAAUCACCUUCGUUCUUUACUCAGUUGCCAAUCAGACUACCCUGCCAGCUCUCAAUCAAAAUCAGAGAGGAGGAAACCCACCCC